CCUACGGGAGGCUGCAGUGAGGAAUAUUGGUCAAUGGGCGGGAGCCUGAACCAGCCAAGUCGCGUGAGGGAAGACGGUCCUAUGGAUUGUAAACCUCUUUAGGCGGGGAGCAAUGCCGGGCACGCGUGCCCGGAGGGAGAGUACCCGCAUAAUAAGCAUCGGCUAACUCCGUCCCAGCAGCCGCGGUAAUACGGAGGAUGCGAGCGUUAUCCGGAUUUAUUGGGUUAAAGGGGUGCGUAGGCGGAUUUUUAAGUCAGCGGGAAAAUGUCGGGGCUCAACCCGGGCCGGCCGUUGAAACUGGGGAUCUUGAGUGGGCGAGAGGUAUGCGGAAUGCGUGGUGUAGCGGUGAAAUGCAUAGAUAUCACGCAGAACUCCGAUUGCGAAGGCAGCAUACCGGCGCCCGACUGACGCUGAGGCACGAAAGCGUGGGGAUCGAACAGGAUUAGAUACCCUUGUAGUC
rnacentral:rRNA from 1 species